rnacentral:lncRNA from 1 species
AUUCACUCAGAGCAGACCGAAGACUGUGAGACUUCCUCCCCACAGUGAGCUAAAAGGACGCUUUUGUCAGAGUGGGGAAAUAAAAGGGCUUUAUGGGAAGGAAGAUAAGAACAGAUGAGUCAGAGGUUUCUGCUUAAUGCUCACUCUUCAAUUCUUUCCCGAGCAAAACCAAGAAUCUUCUUGGGCUAAGCCCCAAUUUGGGGUUCACCUGCCUUGCAGCAACAUGGCACCAAACAUGCGGCAGAAGAGAGAAAACGACAGCAUGAGAGACGGAGAAAGAAAUGGCCAGUUGGCAAGGUGGUAAUGAGAGACAGCAGUUGGCAAGACAGUGAGAGACAGCAAGAGAUGGCAAGUGACAGUUAUUGUUAAGAUGACAAAUGGAGAGAUGGCAAGAAAUAGAGAAGCAGUCAGUGAUGGAGGCUGCAAGAGUUGUAACACUAACCAAAGGCUCUUUUUAGAAUCAUCGUUUUCCCUGGCAGGUGGUACAGCCAAGCAGACAGGCAAGUAAGUGGCCAUACUGCUACUGCCUCAUGUAGGAUCCGGCAGGCUGGUGGGUUAUCAGUCCUCACGUGGGACCCUCCCACCAUGGCAGCUGAGCACAUCCAAGCUGGGGGAUCCUGAAGAGACCUUCACCUGGGUGCCACGUGGAAGAUUGGCCAGCACCAUUUUGACUCCUGUGGAUGGGUGAGUGUUUUGCCCACCCCCACCCCAAUAACAUCAGGAAUACCAGAUAAAUGACGUUGUGCCCUUCUCAAUGAUCACGUCAGGAGACACAUGAGCUAGCUGAGGUUUUAUUUUGGACACACAAAAAAGAAAAAAGCAAUUGAAUUGUUUUGUAGCUGGAGACAUGGGCAAGGGGGUAUCCCCAAGCAGUAAACUCCUCCGCAGGUGGGCUGAGGGCUAGGGCUGAGCCUCAGGUGGGUCUCCCGUUCCCUGUGCUCCCCUGCACAGCGGCCUCCCUCCCGGACUCUGGGGCAGCCGCAGGAGGGGCAGGCUGGGAGGGGCUGCCCUGGCUGUUCACUUGGGCAGGACGUCAAAGGACUCGGACACCGGACUCGGACACCGGCUUCCCGUUGCAGGUCUGGAUCUUCUUCACAACCACGGCCCUGGUGGAGCUGGUGCGGCUGAAGGAGCUGGCGCCCAUGCCAGAGCCAAAGCUGGAGCCCAGACCGUAGCUGAGGCCGGGGCUCGUGAGGCCCCCAUAGGCCGAGCUCAGCGCACCUGCAUAGCUGCUGGUGGUCUUCGUAUGGAUACUCCUGUUCUGCAUCCCAGACUCCAGCCGGCUCUCCUCGCCCUCUAGCAGCUUCCUGUAGGUGGCGAUCUCGAUCUCGAUGUCCAGGGCCAGCUUGACGUUCAUCAGCUCCUAGUACUCACGCAGCUGCCGCGCCAUGUCCUGCUUGGCCGGCUGGAGGGCGGCCUCCAGCUCGGACAGCUUGGCGUUGGCACCCUUAACUGCCAGCUCCUCAGGCUGCUCGGCAUCUGUGAUGGCGGCCUCCAGGGAAGCCCUCUGGCCUUUGAGGCACUCAGUCUCAGCCUGGAGCCCACUGAUGUUCCAGUUUAUCUCGGAGGUCUCAGUCUUUGUAUGCUGCACGUCAUCCCAGUGCCUCCCAGCCAGCGCCUGCAGCUUCUCAUACUUGAUCUGGUACAUGCUCUCAGCCUCAGCCCGCCUGCGGUUGGCGAUCUCGUACUGCGCCUUGACCUCAGCGAUGAUGCUGUCCGUGUCCAUGGAGCGGCUGUUGUCCAUGGACAGCACCACAGACGUGGCGGAGAUCUGGGACUGCAGCUCCCGGAUCUUCUCUUCAUACAGCCGCCUGAGGAAGUUGAUCUCGUCAGUCAGCCCUUCCAGGCCAGACUCCAGCUCUAACUUGUUCAUGUAAGCUUCAUCCACAUCCUUCUUGAUGAGGACAAAUUGAUUCUCCAUCUCUGUACGCUUAUUGAUCUCAUCCUCGUACUUGUUCUUGAAGUCCUCCACCAGCCCCUGCGUGUUGCCAAGCUCCGUCUCCAGCUUCAGCUUCUCCUGGCCCAGAGUCUCCAGCUGCCGCCUAAGGUUGUUGAUGUAGCUCUGGAACAUGUUGUCCGUGUUGCUCCCAGCCGUCUGCUGCUGCUGCAGGAGGCUCCACUUCGUCUCCUGAAUCUUGUUCUGCUGCCCCAGGAACCGCACCUUGUCGAUGAAGGAGGCAAACUUGUUGGUGGGGUUCUUGAUCUGCUCCUUCUCCUGGGUGCGCAUGGCCUGGAUGUUGAGAUCCACCUCCUAAGGGGGCUCAGCAGACUCUGGUUGACUGUGACAGCAGUGAUGCCUCCCAUGCCGCUGGUCCCACCAUAGCCUCUGCCCAGGCCAGCCCAGAAGCUGCUGCUGCCCAGUAGGGAGAAGCUCUAAGAGCUGAUGCAGGCACUGGGCCCACUCGUAUAGGAGCGGCAUAGCAGCAUUUUUACAAUAAUCCAGUAACCCUGUUGUUCAUCAAUAGCAUAAUUGAGAAAUAUAUUGUGAUAUAUUUAUACGAUGGAAACUAUUCAGCAAUGGGAAUGACUGAACUACAGCACUAUGAAUCUUAUAGAUUGAGUAUACGAAGCAAGAUACAAAUUACUCCAUUUAUAUAAAUGUAAAAAAAAAAACAAAACAAAACCUAGGCAGCAUAGCCAAACCCUGUCUGCACAAAAAUGUAAAAUAAAAUUAGCCAGGUAUGGUGGAGGAUGAGUCCUAGCUACUUAGGAGGCUGAGGUGUGUGGAUCACUUGAGCCAGGAGUUCAAGGCUGCAGUGAGUCAUGACAGGACAGAGGGAGACCUGUCUACUGUCUGUCCCUAUAGAAAAAGAAAAAAUCUCCUGGUGUCUUUUCCUGAAUUUGGCAGACAGGAUGGCCAGAGGAAAUGCAUCAAUGCAGAGGGACAGAAACAGCAGUGUGGCCUGGGAAAGGUGAGUGGCCACUGCUUCAGCCAUGGCAUUCACUACAGCAGUGCUUCUUUUUCAUUAUUUCUUUUCCUUUAUCAUCUUAUUUUAAAAACAUUUUGCAUGUAUAUAUUUUCAAGUUUCCACACAAUGCAUUGAUUUACUUAUAUUUUCCAUUUUUUUCUUUUUAAUUUUUUUCUAGAACAAUGCUUCUUAAACUUUAGUGUGCACACUGGGACUCUUACUAAAUGCAGAUUCUGGUUUAGUAGGUCCCGGGGAAGGACCAGGGAUUCUGCAUUUCUAACAAGCUCCCUGGUGAGGUCCUUGCUGCUGGUUCACGGAACCCCACUUUGGCCAGAAGCUAGAGCAUUUCCAAGUGGAAAGUGGCCUCUGCAGCCAGGUUCAGUGGCUCACGCCUGUAAUCUCAGCACUUUUGGAGGCUGGGGUGGGAGGAUUGCUUGAGCCCAGGAGUUUAAGACCAGCCUGGGCAACAUAGUGAGAUCCCAUCUCAGGAAGGAAGGAAGGAAGGGAGGGAGGAAGAGAGAGAGGGAAAGAGGGAAAAGCAAGCAAGCAAGCCAUCCUGCCAGUUUCCUACCCGAGUGUUGACUGCUGAAUGAGGAGACCUCAUCACAGGAAGUACACUCAUCCUAUUCCUACUUCCACUCUCCUUCCAUCACCACUCCUAUCUCCAUACUGGUUCUGAGCUCAUAGGUCCCAGGGAGGGGCCAAGGAUCCCUACAGAUCCACCUGCCCAUCUCCAUUCCACUCCCACUUAUCUCCUCUGUCCCUCUGUCCAUCCUCAGAUUCUUUCCCAACCCCAUCUGCAUGUGGUCUCCAUUGCAUCCAUAUCGCUAUCUUCAUUUCUGUCUGUUUUCCCAUCUGUUGCAAUCUCCAGCUCCAGGUGAAUCCCAACUCCCAUUGCUAUCUCCAUCCUAUCCCCACUAUACCCCAUCCCUAUUCUGAUACACUUCCUUUUCACCCUUACUUUCUCCAGAGUGAAAAUUGAGGCAGAUUCAUAAAGAAGUCUAAGAGUUUUGGGGAUGUUGGGGACUAUCAAGGUUGACAGUCUCUCCAUAUAGAAAUUCUUCCCCAGAUUCCCAGGAGAAACUUUGAAAUAAAUUACUCAAGUCAAGAUUUCAGAUAUAACUUAUUCACUGCCCAUGGUGAGUAUGGGGGAGGGCUAGGACUGGGAUGGGAAGCAGGAGGGAAUAAAAAGGAGAUAGGGCUCUCCAGAGAGACAAGAAGGUAAAGAUUCAACAAGGGAAGCUAAGAAGUCACAGACUGGGAGACAGAGGCAAAUGAGAAAUGUAUGGAUAACAGAUCUCAAAUCUAGUUUAACCUCUUCCCCACCUUCCCAUCCCCAUACAGGUCAGGCUUUGACACAAGGAAUUUAGAGAAGAAAAAAGGUGUGGUCUGCUGUUUCAUUCAGUCCAUUAUCUGUUGAGCAUUCCUUUUUUUAUUCAAAUAGAGCAGAAGAAAGGAGCUUGAAAUGGACAGUUAUCUCUGGUUUAUCUGGCUGUAGAGUGCAGAGAUGAUUCUCUUUCAGGAUGGGAGAGGGGGUGGGGAGGAGGAGAGAGGUGGGAAUGUAAUGAUGAUGGUGAUGGGUUGAUGAAUGUGAGACUGGAGGUUUUUUUCAUACAAAGUCUCGCUCUUGUUCCCCAAGCUGGAGUGCAAUGGCAUGAUCUUGGCUCACUGCAACCUCCGCCUCUUGGGUUCAAGCAAUUCUCCUGCCUCAGCCUCCCAAGUAGCUGGGAUUACAGGCACCUGCCACCAUGCCCAGCUAAUUUUUGUAUUUUAAGUAGAGACAGGGUUUCACUGUUUUGGCCAGGCUGGUCUCGAACUCCUGACCUUAGGUUAUCCACCCGCCUCGGCUUCCCAAAGUGCUGGGAUUACAGGUGUGAGCCACCGCGCCUGGCUGAGACUGGAGUUUUAAAUUACAGUAGUCCCUCCUCCUGUAUCUGCGGUUUCAGUUACCUGAGGUCGACCACACUCUGAAAUUAUUAAAUGAGAAAAAUCCAGAAACAAACAAUUCAUAAAUUUUAAAUUGCAUGUUGUUCUGAGUAGCAUGGUAAGAUCUCAAGCAAUUCCACUCCGUCCUGCUCAGGAGGAAUCAUUUCUUUGACUUAUCCCUUUGUCCAGCAUUUCCACUCUGUCUAUGCUACCCUUCAUUGGUCGCUUGGUAAAGGUCUCGGUUAUCAGAUCAACUGUUGCGGUAUCACAGUGCUUAUGUUCAAGUAACCCUUAUUUUACUUAAUAAUGGCCCCUAAGUGCUAGAGUAGUGAUGCUGGUAUAUUGUUAUAAUUGUUUUAUUUUAUUAUUACUGUUAAACUCUUACUGUGUGUAAUUUAUACAUUAAACUUUAUCAUAGGUAUGUACGUAUAGGAAAAAAACACAGCAUAUAUAGGGUCUGAUAUUAUUCAAAGCUUCAGGCAUCCGUUGGAGCAUCUUGGAAAGUAUCCCCUUGGAUAAGAGAGGACUAGUGUAUAUUGAAUGACUAGAAGACGAAUGAGCCCAUCCAAGAUACUGUUAAGGCACAGAGAAGGGAAAUGUGACAACACUGAGUUGAAGGCAGUGACUGGAGGAAAAUAAAACAGUUUCAUGUUUGUGCCCCCACUGAGUUUCAGAUUAUUCAACUAACCAGUCACCUGCCGUGUAGAGCUUCUUUCUUUCCCAAGAUCUUGCUGUCUUGCUUAGAGAUUUCAGGUUUCUUCCCUUAUAUGCGUGCUGGGAAUUCAGCAGUGGAAGCUCUGUCCAGAUGCCUUCUGCUGGAAUUAGCAAUAGAAUCUCACAAAUUGUUUAAGCCCAGCUAUGUCUCUUCUUGACUUCUUGAGUGAAUCCCAAGAGGCAUUGGAACUUUACUUUUGCUGACUGUUUCCCCAUUUUUCCUUCUGAUUCUUUCAGUUUCUGGUUAUUGGCUAGGGUUGUUUGUGAGUCAUCUAACUUGUAUUUUUGCUGUUCCAUAGCCUGCCCAUGAAUGCAGGGGAUUGGGGUGAGAAGGCAGCCCACGCAUUCAAGUUGAAUUUGUGCAGGGUGGUGAGCUUCCCCCUGGGUAGGCAGCAGACUUGGUUAGGAGCCUGGUUUCAUGGUUUGACCACUGGUGAUCUCUGCUGGGUGGCUGGUGGGAUCUAGUCUCUGAUAGGUGAGAGAUGACAGAGAAUCUCGUUUGUUAGCUCUUUUUUUUUUUUUUUUUUUUUUUUGACAAAGUUUCCCUCGUGUUGCCCAAGCUGGAGUGCAAUAGCGUGAUCUCAGCUCACUGCAACCUCUGCCUCCUGGGUUCAAGUGAUUCUCCUGCCUCAGCCUCCCAAGUAGCUGGGAUUACAGGUGCAUACCACCAUACCCUGCUAAUUUUUUGUAUUUUUAGUAGAAAUGGGGUUUCACAAUGUUAGCCAGGCUGGUCUUGAACUCCUGACCUCAGGUGAUCUGCCCGCCUUGGCCUCCCAAAGUGCUGGGAUUACAGGCAUGAGCCACCGCACCCAGCCUGUUAGUUCAUUUUGUAUGACAGAUUGUUUAUUUGUGAGAUCAAGUCACUUAAACUCUUUUGUGCCCAAAAGAAGGAGAAGAGCCCUUUGAGAUCUGUCUGAACUGGUGAGUUUUUGUGGUUCUGUGGCUACUGACCGAUGAGGAGUUAUAAAAAUGAAGCUGCAAACUCUGGGGUCUCUAGGCCUGUAAAUGAGAAAAGCCUUAAAUCUCAUUGUGUGAAUGGGGAAAAUUUUUCUACCUCCUGAGGGUAUUAACAAAUUAGAUUAUAAAGAUUUAAAUUAAAGGGGCUUUGUCCUGAUUGGUUUAUAGAGACCAGUAAGAGCUUUUGUAAAUCCAAUUUUGCCCAAACUCCCAGAAAACAAAGAAGCUGAACUCCUAAUACUUUAAAUGGGAUAAGCAAAACAAAACAAAAACCUUUUUCAUAGAAACUGCUAGCUCAGAAGCAAUUUUAUACAAUAAUCCACGGUUCAUGUAAUCAGGAAAGGUUUAAUCCUUGGGCAAGUCAGACUGAUUUGAUGAUUUUGCCCUAAAAAGUAACAUCUUUUUACUGAUUUUACCAGUGUAGAAUAUAAUACAAACAUAUGUUUCAGUUUAUUUUAUUUUUUUUAACUGUACCUGCUGGAAUAGGAUUAGUUUGAUUUUAAGAAUUGCUUUUGUUUUCUUAUGGAGAAAAUAAUCUGUAUACCGAACACACAGACGUACUCCUCUGCCUCUGUUGGUCCCAGUAUCAAUCACCCUUCUUCCAACUUUAUCAAUCACCCUCUUUCCAACUUUACCUAAGUAGCUAAGUUCUGUUUCAGGGAGGGAGAGAACUGGGAGGUAGGGCAUGGAGAACUAUCUAUUAUAUACAAACAUUUUAUCAAAUCAACAGUGUUUACAAAGAAUAUAUAAUAUGACCCCCACAGCCAUAUACAUAUAUCUUUUUUAUACUUUUUUUUUUUUUUUUUUUUUUGCGGGGGGGACAGAGUCUCACCCUGUCACCCAGGCUGGAGUGCAAUGGCACGAUCUCGGCUCACUGCACCUCCGCCUCCCGGGUUCAAGCAAUUCUCCUGCUUCAGCCUCUUCAGUAGUUGGGAUUACAGGCAUGUGCCACCACGCCUGGCUAAUUUUUGUAUUUUUACUAGAGACGGGGUUUCACCAUGUUGGCCAGGCUGGUCUCAAACUCCUGACCUCAAGUGAUCUACCUGCCUCAGCCUCCCAAAGUGCUGGGAUUAUAGGCGUGGGCCACUGGGCCUGGCCUACACUUUCUUAAAAUGGCAAUGAUGAACACACUCAUGAAAAUGACCCAAAGGUUAAGCCACUCCAUAAUAUAGAAAAGUAAGAAGUAAAGGUAGACAGACUAUGCUUGGUGACCCAUGUUUGAGCAUUCUAUCUUAAUUAGAAAUUAUCCAGAUACCCAAAAAUUAUUAUUUAAUAUUUAACCUAGGUUUUAAAGUUAGCUGGCCGGGUGCAGUGGCUCAUGCCUGUAAUCCCAGUGCUUUGGGAGUCCAAGGCGGGCAGAUCAACUGACGUCAGGGGUUCGAGACCAGCCUGAGCAACAUGGACAAACCCCGUCUCUACUAAAAAUAAAGAAAAAAUUAGCCUGGUGUGGUGGUGCAUGCCUGUAAUCCCAGCUACUCAGGAGGCUGAGGUAGGAAAAGCACUUGAACCCUGGAGGUGGAGGUUGCGAUGAGCCGAGAUCACGCCAUUGCACUCCAGCCUGGACAACGAGAGCGAAACUCCAUCUCGAAAUAAAUAAAUAAGUAAAUAAAUAAAUAAGGUUAGCUAAAGAAGGAAAAAAAGUUAGCUAAAGAUCUUGGGGAUUAUAUUUAAACGGAUGUAUUAUAGAACCUAACUACUACUUAUAUAAAAAAAUUGGUCAGAAUUGUGCUUCAGCUGGCAUGGUGGCUCACACCUAUAAUCCCAGCACUUUGGGAGGCCAAGGCAGGAGGAUUGCUUUGAGCCCAGGAGUUUGAGACCAGCCUGGGCAACAAAGCGAAACCCCAUCUUAAAAAAAAAUAAUUUAGUUAAACGCAUUAUUCUGUUUUCCUUUUUUUUGAGACAAGGUCUCUCUCUGCCACCCAGGUUGGAAUGCAGUGGUGUGACCAUGGCUCACUGCAGCCUUGACCUCCUGGGCUCAAUUAAUCUUCCUACUUAAGCCUCCCUAACAGCUGGGACCACAGUGCACACCACCACUCCCAGCUAUAUAUAUAUUCUUUAAUGCUUUGUAGAGAUGAAGAAGUGUCACUGUGUUGCCCAGGCUGGUCUCAAACUCCUGGGCUCAAGCGAUCCACCUGCCUCGGUCUCCUAAAACACUGGGAUUACAGGCUUAAGCCACCAUGCCCGGCCUGUGUUUUUCUUAAUCUUACUAUCUCAAAUUAGGUAUCUAUCAUUCCCAUGGAUGUUUUUAUGUCUUUAUUACAUAUGUUGGUGUAUCCAUAAACAAUUUCUACUAUUUUGCAUGUUUUAAAGCUUUUUGUAAAUGCUGUUAUUUUGCAUGAAUUCCUUUGCAACUUGUUUUUUUUUUUUUUUUUUUGAGCUUAUAUUUUUAAACCUUCUUAUUUGGGAAUAAUUUUAGGUUUACAGGAAAAUUGCAAAAGUAGUACAGUUACUGUAUGCCUUUCAGUCAGCUUCUAAUGUUAACACCAUACAUAACUGUGGUGCAUUUAUCAAAACUAAGAAAUAGCCUGUAAUCUCAGCACUUUGGGAGGCCGAGGUGGGCGGAUCAUGAGGUCAGGAGUUCGAGACUGUCCUGGCUUACACGGUGAAACCCCAUCUCUACUAAAAAUACAAAAAAUUAGCUGGGUGUGGUGGCACGCUCCUGUAGUCCCAGCUACUCCGGAGGCUGAGACAGGAGAAUUGCUUGAACCCUGGAGGCAGAGCUUGCAGUGAGCUGAGAUCGCGCCAUUGCACUCCAGCCUGGGCGACGCAGCAAGACUAUCUCAAAACAAAACAAAACAAAAACUAAGAAAUAAACGUUGGUACAAUACUAUUAACUAAGCUAUAGACUUUAUUCAGAUUUCACCAGUUUUUCCACUAAUGUCCUUUUCCAGGAUCCUACCCAGGAUACCACAUUACACUUAGCAGAUUGCAUUUUUGAGAUUUAUGAUGACACAUGACAUUUUAAUUUAUUCAUUCUAAUUGAAGUUGGAUUCCCAUUGUUUGACCAUACCAACAUGUAUUUAUUCUCCUGUCGGUAGGUAGUUAGGUUGUUUCCAAAUUUCUUUUACUAUUACAAACAAUGGUGCAAUACUUGUACCUCUGUCCUUAUCUUCUUUACACUGUCAGGAAACAGAGAGCACCUAUCUAUAAUUUACGAUGAAGUCUAAGCCUGUACCUUCAAAACCUGGCUCUGACUUUUUCUUCUAGCCUCCUCUUCAUCUCCCACCAAACCUCCAGGUUCAGGACUGGUUACUCCAGCUCUCUCCAAUGUUUUCUUUUUCUUUCUUUUUUUUAUUUUCUUUUUUUAUUUUUUAGCAUCAGGGUCUCAGUCUUUUUGUCCAGGCUGGAGUACAGUGGCAUGAACAUAGCUCACUUUAACCUUGAACUCCUAGGCUCAAGCAAUCCUCCCACCUUAGCCUCCCAAGUACUAGGACUACAGGCACUUGCCACCAUGCCUGGCCAUUUUUAUUGUUUAUUUUUGAAGAGACGGGGUCUUGCUUUGUUGCCCAGGCUGGUCUGGAGCUCCUGGGCUCAAGCAAUUCUCCCACCUCGGCCUUGCAAAGUGCUGGGAUUAUGGAUGUGAGUCACCGCAAUUGGCCUUCAGCCUUCCCUUUUCUGGUCAUCUUUCUUACCCCACUGCCAGCCCCAGCAGUGUCUAUCUGAAUGCUGUGCAAUUUAAGAGUAAAAUAGGGUUAGUAAGGAAAGCUUGGACUGGGCAUGAAAGAGACUUAUGUUCAUGUCUAUCUACCUCUUCAUUUGACAAAGGGUUCCUAAUUAUCUCCCAUGUGGCAGACACAGUGCUAGGUACCCAGAGGUUUGUCCUUAGAUGCUCCCCUUUUCAUUCCACAUCUCAGGGGCUCUUGUUCAUUCUGAUGGCUUCAAUUCUGAAAUCCAUAACUCCAGCCCAGACUUUGUUUCCUGAGCUUCUAGCUCAUAUAUGUAACUGCUUCCUGGACAUUCCCAUUUCUCAUAGGUAACCUCAAAGUUGAUUUGUUCAAAAAUUACUUCAUGGCUGGGUGCUGUGGCUUAUGCCUGUAAUCCCAGCAUUUUGGGAGGCUGAAGUGGGAGGAUUUCUUGAGCCCAAGAGUUCAAGAAAUUUCAAGACAGCUUCUUUCAAUUUCUGUAGCUAUCCAGUUGCAGACUGGUGAAAUUUGCAAACCAUUGUUAACCACAGACCACACUUUGAGUAGCACCAAAGAGAGGCAACAGAACAGAAUGUACAUAUGUGGUCCUUAGAGCAGGACAGCAGAAGGCAGAAAAAGAAGAUUCUUUUAAGCAAACAGGUAAUAAUGACAUCAUCAGUAACUACAGUUACUGAUGUAGUUCUCUACUAAGUUCUCUGUACUCAAUCAGUUCUCUGUACUAAGAUAUGGGUAACCCGGGGCAGUGCAAGUGCAGAGGAGGCACCUAGGCCAGCCUGGGUAUCAGGGAAGGCAUAAGACAGGUAGGAGUUGGGUGGGGGAAGCAUUAGUGACGAGUGGGAAGGACACUCCAGGCAGAGAAACAAGUUCUGGAGUCAUUCUGCAGCAUAUGGGUUAGAGGAUGACCUUUCCUGUGAUUUGAUGGCUACUUGUCUCUGCGCAUCAGCAUUAGUUUCCAUGUGUAUAAAAUGGAUAUGAUAAUCCUUUCUUUGAAUCACAAAAAGAUAAAGCAUGAGAUGUACCUGUUAUAAUGCCUGGUGCUUGCUAAUAUUGCUGUUCUGUGUGUAAAAGAUACAGGAGUCAGAGCUGCCACAGACAGCGAGUUACAGCACUUUGCAGGGGACAGCUCAUGGACCCAGGACUGGAGCCCAGAAUGACAAGGGUUCUGGAAGGUAACAGGGAAAAUGGCAGUGGGGUGGGCAGCAUGCCUGCCCCUGAGUCAUUCCCAGGCCUAGGUGUGUGUCUACAGGAUGGACUGUCAGGGGAGGAUAGGGUGCAUUGUAAGGUUGGGGGAGGAGGCAGGACCUCAGGGCAAACUCCUCUGACCUACAAGGCCCAGGCAUUCCAGAUGUCCACGCAAAAAUUGGCUCCAAAUUAAAAGGCUGAAAGGUGGGGCUGGCUCUGUCCUAUUUUGAUAUGCUUUGAGGCAUUCGAUAAAGAUGUUAAUGGGAUCAUUCAUAAAUCAGGAAACUAAUCCUCUGAGGUGCUGGUUGCUAAUGAAGCGAGAAUCAGGAAGAUUAAAUCACAGAUUUCAAAAUCUCAGGCUGGAAUUUAAUCCCAGACCUUGAGUCCAGACUUCAUCUCAAACAGAUGGCAUGGUUCGAAACAUAUCCCGACUGCAGUAGUCACUUGGAAAUGAGUUCCCAGUAGUCCUUGCAGUUCAACCAAAUACUACUUCUGGGAAUGGGGCAUGGAAAUGGGACGUCGGGGUGCAGCAAAGGCUUCCUGGAGGUGACCCCAAGGGAGAGUGGCCUAUAGUAGACACUCAUUAAAUAUUGGUAAAACAAAUGGAGUUAGUAGAUGAAGAAAAGGGGGAAGAGCAUUCCAGGCAGAGAUAAUACAGGGCCACCUGGCAGGGUCAAGAAGACUUGGGGCCCCUUGGCAUAUUAAAGUGGGCGGUGGUAGCAGUCUGUCCACAUGCAGGCUAGAAGGGGUGCAUAUCUAUAAAGAGCUUAACAAUAAUAGAUCCAACUAAAAGUUGGUCUGCCUUUUAUUAUUGCUGUGUGCCAGUGAUUUUUAAAUACUGUUGAAAUACUCCUCUCCUAAAAAAUCUUUUGUUGGUUUAAGUUCUAAAUAAUUGCUGUAGAUACUGAAUUUUAUUUGUACAUGUAAACUUCACACUAACACAUUUUUAUUAGCGAUCCUUUAAUAAAUAUUGCAUUCUAUGUGGAAGUUCAUUUGGAGAAUGCUUGGUUAUAUAGUCACACCAAUACCCAUCUUUGGAGCUCACUUUAGGCAAGGGUCACAUCUCCUACCCCUGUGGUAUUAGACACAUCCAAGUUUACACUGUAGAUUCAGAAUAAACAAUCAUGAGUUACUGUCAGUGAUGACAAAGACAAACAGGGCUUGACUUUUUUCAAUUCUGUCAUUCUAUGUAACCAGUUGGACUUUUGUGUUAAAACAGUGGGACAGGCCAGGCGCGGUGGCUCAUGCCUGUAAUCCCAACACUUUGGGAUGCCGAGGUGGGCGGAUCAUGAGGUCAGGAGAUCGAGACCAUCCUGGCUAACACAGUGAAACCCCGUCUCUACUACAAAUACACACACACAAAAAAAUUAGCCAAGAGUGGUGGCAGGCGCCUGUAGUCACAGCUACUUGGGAGGCUGAGGCAGGAGAAUGGCAUGAACCCGGGAGGCGGAGCUUGCAGUGAGCCGAGAUCGCGCCACUGCACUCUAGCCUGGGCAAUGGAGCGAGACUCUGUGUCAAAAAAAAAAAAAAAAAAAAAACCAAAACAAAAAAAAAACAAAAACCAGUGGGACAGAGUGCAAACUGAGAGGCAAAACAUUUUUGUUUGUUAAGUGCAAAUUUUUAAUUUGUACAUGAAAUAUGUUACUGAAUUUGAAUAAAAAUUUACCUUUGAAAUGAAAACCUAUUCCUUUAUACUUGUUAAUGGUUUUAAAAUGAAAGAUGAAUAAAGGAAAUAAAUGUUAUAGCCUAAGUAUUAUUGCCUAAAUUGUAUCUUAUUUAGAUGCUUUGGUUUUAUUAAAAUUUGCUUGUUGGUUGCUGGAUGACCAUUUACAUAAGGGAGUAUAUCAGAUUGUAAAGAAAGGAUCAAAAUUUAAACAGGUAGAUGUGAAAAUGAUUGAAAUAAAUAGUUGUGCCUUUUUCAUUUUUUGGAGCCAUAAUAUUAAUUUUAUGUAUUUAUUUUAUGAUGUGAGUAUGCAUACAAAUUUUGGCAAAUAAAUUUUUCA